UACGUAGAGUGCAAGCGUUAAUCGGAAUUACUGGGCGUAAAGCGUGCGCAGGCGGUCCGCUAAGACAGAUGUGAAAUCCCCGGGCUUAACCUGGGAACUGCAUUUGUGACUGGCGGGCUAGAGUAUGGCAGAGGGGGGUAGAAUUCCACGUGUAGCAGUGAAAUGCGUAGAGAUGUGGAGGAAUACCGAUGGCGAAGGCAGCCCCCUGGGCCAAUACUGACGCUCAUGCACGAAAGCGUGGGGAGCAAACAGG
rnacentral:rRNA from 1 species